UACGGUGGAUGCGAGCGUUAUCCGGAUUUAUUGGGUUUAAAGGGUGCGUAGGCGGGAUGCCAAGUCAGCGGUAAAAAUGCGGUGCUCAACGCCGUCGAGCCGUUGAAACUGGCGUUCUUGAGUGGGCGAGAAGUAUGCGGAGUGCGUGGUGUAGCGGUGAAAUGCAUAGAUAUCACACAGAACUCCGAUUGCGAAGGCAGCAUACCGGCGCCCUACUGACGCUGAGGCACGAAAGCGUGGGUAUCGAACAGG
rnacentral:rRNA from 1 species